rnacentral:SRP_RNA from 1 species
UGUCGGUCCCCUCGCGACGUAAAACGGUAAACUCCGUCAGGCCUGGAAGGGAGCAGCGGUAGUCGUGGCGCGGGUGCCGAGGUGCGGCUGGCACUG